AAGAGAACUGUCUCAUUGUAAGAAGGCCCAAGAGUAAGCCAUGUGAAGAAAAUAACACAACAAGUUAUAUUUACAACACACUUAAAAAUUAAAUCGAAAAAAAAGGUAAAAUCGGGAUUUGCACGGAUGGAAAUUGAGGGACACACAAAACCUAAAUGAUAUGCUCAAAGCCGGUUUUCACAUAUUGACAACAAAUGGAAAUGUCAUAUGUGAUUAGUCAAAACGUGGCGAAAUACUAUCACUAUAUCGAUAAAAAUAAUCAUGGAUAAAUAACAAGAAAAAUGUCAAAUCCAUAAAUUAAAAAAUCGAUGUUUAAAUGAUAAAUCAAGGAAAAACAUUAAAAUCAACAAGUGUUUUGAAAAUGAGAAUAAUAAAAUAAAAUAAAAAGGAGUAAAAAAUAAAAAUAAAAAUAAAUAAAAAUAAAAAAAGAAAAGUAAGAAAUGUGGUACAAGGGUAUCGAACCCGUACCCUAAGGCAUGCCAAACAACACCCUUACCAACCCAACCAACUUUGGUUGUUGAUAUUAACUUGUGUUCAUUAAUACAUAAAUUUAAAACAUGCGUUGUAUUGGUUAAAAGAAAAAACAAGUUAACAAACUGGAAGCAA
rnacentral:lncRNA from 1 species